AAACGGCUUUGGCAGCUCCAGCUCCACUGCCACCCUGCUGGCAGCUCAUUGCCUUUGCUUCUGAAUCCCAGUAAUUCCUGAGAAACGUGGCAGAUCCUUGCCUGGGAACUGGGAGGGGCUCUGCCUCGUUUUUUAUCAGACCCAACUAUUUUCUUCAUGCUGUGACAAUUAAUUAGAUUAUUUUCAUUUAAAGAUCCAAGCCCACAAGAUAAGUGGAAUGGAACUGAAUUGUUUUCCUUUCCCUGCUCUCCCUCAUUAGCAGUCUAAACAAGUGUGAGGCUGCAUUAAGUUUGUAGCUAUUUUGCUAGCUUGAAAUCACUUUCUUCUCUUCUGCAGAUGGAGACUGUGCUUAGAUCAUUAUAAUCCAGGAUGCAGUUGUGGUAUAUUAAAAGUGAAAAGGCUACUUACAGAAUUUAUGCUUGCAAUUACCUUGGUAGUGGAAAAGGACAGCAACAAAAAUGUCAGGCCAUGAUCACCAGGAAGGCAGCAAUGUGACUGAGACAGAGCCCAGCUCUGAACCAGUGCAGACAUUCUGAUGUUGUUAGGUAUUUUAAAAUAUUGAUGAUGAUUUCCUGAAGAUGGACCAUGGCAGGAAACAAGUGGGUGAGCAGAUGUUAUUUCUAUGAAUGGUCUCACAGAAGUAAACCAGAUGAAUUUCUGAGUUGUCUCAUUCUUCAAGAGUUUGC
rnacentral:lncRNA from 1 species